GGGUGGUAAUGCCGGAUGCUCCGACUCCUCGCAUGGGGUGUCGGGAAAGAUUUCAUCGGUAUGGGAUGGGGUCGCGUCCUAUCAGGUAGUCGGCGGGGUAACGGCCCACCGAGCCUACGACGGGUAGCCGGCCUGAGAGGGCGACCGGCCACAUUGGGACUGAGAUACGGCCCAGACUCCUACGGGAGGCAGCAGUGGGGAAUAUUGCACAAUGGGCGCAAGCCUGAUGCAGCGACGCCGCGUGCGGGAUGACGGCCUUCGGGUUGUAAACCGCUUUUGAUCGGGAGCAAGCCUUCGGGUGAGUGUACCUUUCGAAUAAGCACCGGCUAACUACGUGCCAGCAGCCGCGGUAAUACGUAGGGUGCAAGCGUUAUCCGGAAUUAUUGGGCGUAAAGGGCUCGUAGGCGGUUCGUCGCGUCCGGUGUGAAAGUCCAUCGCUUAACGGUGGAUCUGCGCCGGGUACGGGCGGGCUGGAGUGCGGUAGGGGAGACUGGAAUUCCCGGUGUAACGGUGGA
rnacentral:rRNA from 1 species